AUGCCGAAGGCUGAUGGGGAUGCCACGCUCCUGAUCCAGUCCCUGAACAAGGCCUAUGCCGCCACGCCCACGAAUCUCAAGAUCAUUGACCUGUAUGUGGUUUUCGCUGUGGUGACUGCCCUUGUUCAGGUUGGUUACAUGGGAAUAGUUGGAUCACUUCCCUUCAACUCGUUCCUAUCUGGUGUCCUGUCAUGCAUAGGAACUGCAGUGCUUGCUGCGUGCCUCCGUAUUCAAGUCAACAAGGACAACAAGGAAUUCAAGGAUCUUCCUCCAGAAAGGGCCUUUGCAGAUUUCGUCCUGUGCAAUCUGGUGCUCCACCUGGUUAUUCAUUCGACCAGCGUGCUUGAGUUGUACCAAACACCGGGAAGGGAUACAAUUCCGGAUUUCAGCCAUCUAAUCCAAGGAACCUUAACCUACGGCAACAACGGAAAGGAGGUGAAGAAAAACUAA
rnacentral:rRNA from 1 species